AUGCACUGCAUCCACGUCAGGCUGCUGACCGUGUCCAGCACCAGGUCGUACGUGCGGCGGCCGCGGCCCGUCCCGACGGUGGUGGCCACACUGUACGUGAACCCUCUCGGACCGUGGAUGUGCGGCCGAAGCGCAGUGGUUGCUGCCUGCUCGUUGAGGUGCAGGAAGCCGCCGCCGUCGACGUGCAUGGUGCUGUUCCAGCCAUCGUUCAGGACCAGGCGCAGGCUGAAGCCUCUGCUGGUGCGUGGUGUGCCAUCUUUUGCAGAGGCAGGCUGGAGGAACGCCGAAAGCGAGGCAAGCACCAACGGGAGGAGGACGAGAGCGCGUGUGUCAAGCUCCAUGGUUGCAGCAACGCAGUCACACACUAGCUAG
rnacentral:rRNA from 1 species